rnacentral:misc_RNA from 1 species
GAUAAAACAGCAGACUCACAACUGCACAAUUAGUAAAAGAAUAAUUGAGAACAUCAUUGAUGAUUGCUAAGCCAAGAACAAUACCCAAAAAAAAUAUAAGAUAUUCUACUAAUAUACUGCUCAAAGGAAAUGGAAUUUAGCUACAUGGAAUGCCUAACAGCAGAACUAUAAAUAAAUUACCCAUAAAAUUUUUCUAGCUUCUUCACUGAUGUUAGGAACACAAAUACACACACAUAGACAGAGAGGAAAAGAUAUGAAGACAGGGAGGCUUAAUCCAGUAUUGAAAGGAAAACUGAUAAGCUUACAAAUUUGCACAAUUUGCAAUGCUAAUGGGUGGGUGGGUAAACCAUAAAUAUUUCCAAGACUUUUUACUCAAUGUGUUUCCAACAAU